UGUAGGAGCCGGCUUGCUGGCGAUGCAGGCGCCGCGGUCUGUCAGACCAACUGCGGCGAUGCCAUCGCCAGCAAGCCGGCUCCUACA
rnacentral:misc_RNA from 1 species